GUCUGGCCGCACCUUGUAUUACUCUGUCAUAUGUGACGGCGCAAUUAAGCACAACACUCGGACGCUGAAAAUCAACGACCUCAAUGAUCACAGUCCGGUAUUCUCACAGAAGGUCUACAGCACUGAAGUCUCAGAGACAGUAAAUGUGGACAGCGAGGUCCUCCGAGUGACAGCGCUGGAUGGAGACAGCACCCCAGAAAACAACCAGCUCACAUAUUCCUUUGUAAUAACAUCUACCCGUAUUUGGAAAAAAAAAGUUUUAAAAUUCUGCG